rnacentral:rRNA from 1 species
ACGAACGCUGGCGGCAUGCCUAACACAUGCAAGUCGAACGAGACCUUCGGGUCUAGUGGCGCCCGGGUGCGUAACACGUGGGAAUCUGCCCUUUGCUUCGGAAUAACAGUUAGAAAUGACUGCUAAUACCGGAUGAUGUCGAAAGACCAAAGAUUUAUCGGCAAAGGAUGAGCCCGCGUAGGAUUAGGUAGUUGGUGGGGUAAAGGCCUACCAAGCCGACGAUCCUUAGCUGGUCUGAGAGGAUGAUCAGCCACACUGGGACUGAGACACGGCCCAGACUCCUACGGGAAGCAGCAGUGGGGAAUAUUGGACAAUGGGCGAAAGCCUGAUCCAGCAAUGCCGCGUGAGUGAUGAAGGCCUUAGGGUUGUAAAGCUCUUUUACCAGGGAUGAUAAUGACAGUACCUGGAGAAUAAGCUCCGGCUAACUCCGUG